AACAUCUUGUUUCAACUGUCUUCACUCCGAUAGAAACUCCAGGGAAAUGAAAAUGAUAAAAUGAAGCCCAGCAAUCCGCUUAGGAAUGUGAUCCGCAACGGAGCCGCGGGCAACACGUGACCCCAAGAACUUGACCAAUGGAAGACCAGCAUUGUUGGGCUUACUUUUCGUGCAUCAACGCGUCGUUGUGAGGGUGGCUACGAAUAGGUCUACUGCACACCACGCAGGUGAACCCUUCAUGAACAUGCGGCAAGCAACCUAACGGUACAAGCAAUUUAACCGUCGAUUUCUGUGUGCAUAGAAGGAAGGUUCCUACCUUUCGCAUCCAGUCCUGG
rnacentral:lncRNA from 1 species